rnacentral:rRNA from 1 species
UACGUAGGGGUCGAGCGUUGUCCGGAAUUACUGGGCGUAAAGCGUGCGCAGGCGGUUUUGUAAGUCAGAUGUGAAAUCCCCGGGCUCAACCUGGGAACUGCGUUCGAAACUACAAGGCUAGAGUGUGGCAGAGGGGGGUGGAAUUCCGACGUGUAGCAGUGAAAUGCGUAGAUAUGCGGAGGAACACCGAUGGCGAAGGCAAUCCCCUGGGCCUGCACUGACGCUCAUGCACGAAAGCGUGGGGAGCAAACAGGAU